AUCUGUUCUUAUCAGCUUAAUGCUGGCAAGGUCGGAUGCAAAACACUCUGUUCUUACCAGCUUAAUAUCUGAUACGUCCUGCAUCGCAGGACCAGAAUAUUAAACUCGUUUUGUCUCAUGACGGAGUGCUAGGGGCUUGCUCCAUCUCUGUCGCGGGUUGGCCCGGCAUUGCAGUACCGCCGGGAUCGGCCCACCUAAA